GGAUGUAGCUCAGUUGGUAGAGCACUUGUCUCGCAUGCAUAAGGCCCUGAGUUGAAUCCUCACCACCA
rnacentral:tRNA from 1 species